UAGAAGGUAAUAUAAGGAGUAUUGGAAGUUUUGGGCUUCCAGGUCCGAGUCCAAGUCUUGGCCUUCUAG
rnacentral:tRNA from 1 species